UACGUAGGGUGCGAGCGUUGUCCGGAAUUAUUGGGCGUAAAGGGCUCGUAGGCGGUUUGUCGCGUCGGGAGUGAAAACUCAGGGCUUAACCCUGAGCCUGCUCCCGAUACGGGCAGACUAGAGGUAUGCAGGGGAGAACGGAAUUCCUGGUGUAGCGGUGAAAUGCGCAGAUAUCAGGAGGAACACCGAUGGCGAAGGCGGGUCUCGUGGGCCGAUACUGACGCUGAGGAGCGAAAGCGUGGGGAGCGAACAGG
rnacentral:rRNA from 1 species